rnacentral:misc_RNA from 1 species
CAGAAGCAUUUCUUUGCUCCUAAACACCUGUGAAUCUACUUUUGUUGCUUCGGCGGACCUGCCCCUGGGGGGGCAGCUGAGGUCCGUCGGAGGUUUUUUCAAAAACUCUUGUUUUAGUGGUCUUCAGAACAAACAAAAAUAAAUCA